CCAUAUCCGGCGCCCCUGUACCAACGUGGUGGUAAGACGAACGACCUUCCUUCCCCUUUGCAGCAUUUUAGUUUACCUCCCCCUGCCUAGCUAGCAAACUAGUUUGCUUUGGUCCAAUCUGAUCCUAUCCUAUCCAUGGAGCAGAUUGGAUUUGGUUUCAGUUUACUUUGUACAUGCAUGGAUGGUUGGUUUCAGAUAGAGAGAUGGAUGGUUAAGGCCCUGUUUUUGUUUUGUUUUAGCUAUAACAAAUUUAUCAACCGAGCUAGCUUUCAACUUAUUUUUCACAGUUGGUCCCGCUUAGGCCAAAUCGAUCCAUUUGCUUGGUUCAAUUUAUACAUAGCUCUUCAUGCCCAAGUAAGAUUAAAUAUUGCUGCCAAUCUGAUGCCACAAUUGGCGUCUUUGUUUACUGUUAUGUUAUGUGUGCCACUGAACAUUCAACCUUUAACCAUUGCUUGUGUAAAACCAGACUUUCUUCUUUUGUGAACGGAGUGUUUGCUUGCUGUACUGCAAAAAUAAUUCAUUCAUCGCUCAUUUGACAUGUGCAAGCAAUGUGUACAGACUGCAUUUAGAUUCCAGCCCAACUAGAUUUUAGUUGAAGCGUUUGACCAACCAUCUUGGUUUGCUGCAUUUUCGCCUUACUAGCUUUUUAUUCUUCUUCAUGUUUUGAAGGGGGUUGUUUGUUGGCACAGGCCCGACCUCACGCCGAUGUAGCCGAGUACUUUCUAGCGAUACACGCGUACGAGACAGCUCGAUUACUUUCCGAGCUUGCCAAGUAACUGGUUGGAGACGUAGACGUAGCCGAAGUGCACGUAACACCGAAGCAGCCUAGCAAACUGCUGGAUUGAUUUUCUCUUGGACGCUAGCACACACACGUACAAAACUGCAAGCCGCCGGCUUGCCUGAUACGAGCUAGUUUAGCACGCACACACGCGAACACGAACCAACACAGAGACGCCGAGAUGAUGGCUAAAGGCCCGUGUCGAACCUUUGCUUUUCUUUCUAUAUUGAUCUGACUUACGUUUACAGGGCAGCCACGUACAAUAUAUACAGAACCUAUAUUCUACUACAUGACCGACUUGGCUCAGGAUGAAUAGUCUGUACCGGACAAGCUAACCUAAUCGUGAUUAAGUCCAACAUUGUUUAGGAUAGCCAUGAAGCAGAAAGAACAAACAUGGCACUUUAGCAAGACCAUAAUGAUCCUGAUACUCUUAUCAUUUUGUUAAUGACAUAUGUGUCCUGUCAAUGCUUGCUGGAUGCUAGUCCUACUGGAUAGUAUACCUAAUUCUUUGCGCUUUAACAUUCAAGAGCUCUUUAGUCCUACCAAAAAAAUGUUUUUAUGUUUACCUUACACAUAAUAUUCAUAUUUCUUACUUUUUAACUCAUCUACUCACUGGUCACUGCCUAAAAUUUCUACUAGAUAGGGAUUGUUUGGUUAGUGCUCCUGUUCUUGGUGAGCUAAACAUAUUUGUUUGUUUGUUUGAUUUGGAGCAUCAAACGCUCUCCAUCAACGACCGGGACCCCAUGCCUAAGUUGUUGAGUGCCUCAUUUUGUUCAUCUUCACCAUAUAUUCAUUUGAUUGCCUGCUACAUCUUCAGUUAAAUACUUGUGCUACUGUCCAGAUUUUGUUAAAUUGGACUGACUAGAUAUCUUUUCUUGUUAUUUUUUUGGUGAGAAAUAAAUAUCGCAAUUUGUCUUAUAUUUUCCUUCAACUUGUCACACUGGUUACGUUGACUAUAUAUUUUUCUUCCGUACAAUUUUGAUAUGAUCUUGCAUUUCAUUUUCUGGUUUCUCAAGAGGUGCAAGAAAUCUCUUGAGGCCAAACCGCAGGGAGGACGACGGUCAACAAUGGGUACAGGUUCUCAAGGUCCCAGGGAACUGGGUACAGGUGCGGCUGCGUGCUCGCUGCGCAUCCAAGGUACAGCAGCGGCACCAAAGCUGCCACUUUCUCCCUAUCCGUAAAUGUUUGAUAUGGCCAGCGGCGACAUGAUUUGUUUCUAUAUAAUCAUCUCAACACAAUAGGGAACUCACUAUAUUCGGAUUGCUUUUCUUUCUGUCCAUCAUUGGAUUUCACUAUGGUCUUAAUCAGGUCCAAUUUUAUCAUUUUGUGUUGUUUUCAUGAACAUCUCAGAUCUCAUAAUACUGUAUGCAUCAUUGUCAGGCGGCUUGUUAUUCCUCUUCUUUUUUCACAUGAUUGUACUUUAUGAAUGACUAGCUAACUGAUUGGACCCUUUUGCAUUGACUAGCAUUUUUUUACCAACCUAUAUAUAGAACCAAACCAUGGAACUGAUUUGCUCUCUAUUGCGACUGAACGUUGUAUUGUGAAAUUAAGAAAGGGAAAGAAUAUAUGUACCAGGAUCUUUUAUCAUCCAUUUCCGUGCUACUGUUUCUUUUCCUGUUUGAUAUUUCGAACGUGAUGUUAUGUUAUCCUGAAAACGUUGUUAGUUGCUAGCUUGUGCUGCAUUGGUGUCACAGUAAAAAUACCAUUAUUUGAAGCUGACAUGCACGGUUCACUUUACCUUUGGUACAGUUUUGUGUAUGGAUGAAAACCCAUGCUUCAACCCAUACUUUUGAUUUUUUUGAGUUAGUCUUACGGUUUGUCUAUGUGCAGGCAACGUCGCGCCGUUCCUCGGGAGCAUAUGUUGAGGCGAUAUGCUGGCUUUCCUUCAAUGGUGUCGGCAGGGGUGGCUGGAUCUGUGUCCAGGAUGGCAUGGGAUUGACCCACGGUUGAUGUCUAUUAUGCGCUGGGCGGCAGUGACUGUAAAGUAGCAUAGAGUGUUCUCUAGCACUUGUUUGUACAUUGAAGUUUCUUGUGUUUUUGCUCCUCCACGUGGUAUCAUCUGGUGUGUGUAAUUUUUUUUGGUUUUUUCCUUUUAUUUAAUCACAUAGCAUGUAUUUUCUUAAAAAAAUAUUGGCUUAAAAUAAAAAAAAUCAUGGACCAAGAGAAUUGCGAGAUGGGCUAAUCUAUAUGGCUAAAAUUAGUCGGGCUUGGACCAAUUUGAAAUUUAAUGUGCUGAAAUUCCAAUUGGGCCGACUACAUGGGGGGUAGGUCUUGCAUUGAGAUGGAAAAUAAU
rnacentral:lncRNA from 1 species